AGGACUAACGCUGGCGGCGUGCCUAACACAUGCAAGUCGAACGAGGGGUAGCAAUACCCCUAGUGGCAGACGGGUGAGUAACACGUAGUCAACCUACCUCUUAAUGGGGGAUAACUAGCCGAAAGGUUAGCUAAUACCGCAUACGAUCGUCGAGUGGCAUCACACGACGAUGAAAGGAGCAAUCCGUUGAGAGAGGGGACUGCGUCCCAUUAGUUAGUUGGUGGGGUAAUGGCCUACCAAGACUCCGAUGGGUAGCUGGCUUGAGAGAGCGACCAGCCACACUGGAACUGAGACACGGUCCAGACUCCUACGGGAGGCAGCAGUGAGGAAUUUUCCGCAAUGGGGGAAACCCUGACGGAGCGACGCCGCGUGUGGGAAGAAGGCCUUCGGGUCGUAAACCACUGUCGAGGGGGACGAUAUUGACGGUACCCCGGAGGAAGCCCCGGCUAACUACGUGCUAGCAGCCGC
rnacentral:rRNA from 1 species